GACGAACGCUGGCGGCGUGCCUAAUACAUGCAAGUCGAACGCUGAAGCGAGGAGCUUGCUCUUCUUGUGUGAGUUGCGGACGGGUGAGUAACGCGUAGGUAACCUGCCUUGUAGCGGGGGAUAACUAUUGGAAACGAUAGCUAAUACCGCAUAAUAUUGGAUACCCCAUGUCUUUUAUUUGAAAGGGGCUAUUGCUCCACUUCAAAAUGGACCUGCGUUGUAUUAGCUAGUUGGUGAGGUAACGGCUCUCCUAGGCGACGAUACCAAACCGAACUGAGAGGGGGAACGGCCACACUGGGACGGGGACAAGGCCCAGACUCCCACGGGAGGGAGCAGGAGGGGAAUCUUGGGAAAGGGGGCAAAGCUGAACGAGGAAAGGCGGGGGAGGGAAGGAGGUUUUCCGAUCGUAAAGAUGUGGUGUAAGGGAAGGACGAGAGGGGGAGUGGAAAGUGCACACUGUGACGGUAGCUUACCAGAAAGCGACGGCUAACUACGUG
rnacentral:rRNA from 1 species